rnacentral:rRNA from 1 species
GGCAAAAGUGUGCUAAACUGAGAGACUGACAGGUCAAUCAGGUACGUAAGUAGGGCAUAGUGAACCGAUAGUAUAUUAUGGUAUAGCUAUCGUUCAACGGAUAAGUUACGCUAGGGAUA